AAAGGAUCCCUUGUCCUGUAAAACUUUGAGAACUAACUCCUUGUCCAGGUCAUUUCUAUCCAGAGGGUCAGGAAAAAUCCCCGGCCGACAAUCAGAACCAUCUGUACCAUUGUGUGCUCGGUGAUCAAGAUCGAGCCUGAGCCUGGGUGAUGAUUAGAACUGGCUUUAACCAACUGCAAGUGCGCUGGAGAGGUGCAGCUCCUGCGGUGCCGGCCCUUCCUUCUGUACUUCUCUUCCGAGAUCAGCGCUUUUAUCCUGGCUUUCACGGAGACCUUGGCUGCCGGACUGAAUUCUCUCUUCUUCUGGUCAGCCGUAAAUUUCCAGAUCUUUCAGUAGCUUUCGAGGAAGACAAGACAUGCAAUUACCGAGAUCCAUUCGAACUCACCUGCGAGCUUUCGCCAUCGGCAUUGGUGUACUCCGGUGAUCUGUCAGUAUGAUGGGCAUUCAUACUGCUCUCAGUACUUCCAUUGCCUAACCAAAAAGGAUGAUGGUCAUGAUAUUGUUCGAAUCUUUCUAU